UGGGGAAUAUUGGACAAUGGGCGAAAGCCUGAUCCAGCAAUGCCGCGUGAGUGAUGAAGGCCCUAGGGUUGUAAAACUCUUUCGACGGGGACGAUAAUGACGGUACCCGUAGAAGAAGCUCCGGCUAACUUCGUGCCAGCAGCCGCGGUAAUACGAAGGGGGCUAGCGUUGUUCGGAAUUACUGGGCGUAAAGCGCGCGCAGGCGGUCUUCCAAGUCAGUGGUGAAAGCCUGGAGCUCAACUCCAGAACUGCCAUUGAAACUGUUAGACUUGAGUACGAGAGAGGUGAGUGGAAUUCCCAGUGUAGAGGUGAAAUUCGUAGAUAUUGGGAAGAACACCAGUGGCGAAGGCGGCUCACUGGCUCGUAACUGACGCUCAGGCGCGACAGCGUGGGGAUCAAA
rnacentral:rRNA from 1 species